UGAACGCUAGCGGCAGGCUUAAUACAUGCAAGUCGUGGGGCAGCAGGUUUGUAGCAAUACAGAUGCUGGCGACCGGCAAACGGGUGCGGAACACGUACGCAACCUUCCAUUAAGUGGGGAAUAGUCCCAGGGAAACUUGGAUUAAUACCCCGUAAUAUUACGAAGUGGCAUCACUUUGUACUUAUAGCUCCGGCGCUUAAUGAUGGGCGUGCGUCUGAUUAGGUAGUUGGCGGGGUAACGGCCCACCAAGCCUACGAUCAGUAACUGGUGUGAGAGCACGACCAGUCACACGGGCACUGAGACACGGGCCCGACUCCUACGGGAGGCAGCAGUAAGGAUAUUGGUCAAUGGAGGGAACUCUGAACCAGCCAUGCCGCGUGACAGGAUGACUGCCCUAAUGGGUUGUAAACUGCUUUUGUCAGGGAAUAAACCUUUCCACGUGUGGGAAGCUGAAUGUACCUGAAGAUAAGGAUCGGCUAACUCCGUGCCAGCA
rnacentral:rRNA from 1 species